rnacentral:tRNA from 1 species
GGAGGGAUGCCGGAGCGGUCGAACGGGGCGGUCUCGAAAACCGUUGAGCCCUUCUGGGGCUCCGGGGGUUCGAAUCCCUCUCCCUCCGCCA